GCCAACCCGGACUUGUUUCUAUUAGAAAGGUGAUCGUCGGGAAAAGGUCAUCAAACCCGAAGUUUGCUUCGACGACUAAGGUCGUUGCCGGAAAAUUCAUCCAACCCUUUGUCGCAUCUUGUUCAUACUUUUCACUCCGUCGAUCGUCGUAGUAUUGUUUUCUAAUCAGGGUUCCUGGGUUCAAGACCUCUCGUAAUCAGGUAGAGAUUCUUCCCUGUUUUUUCCUUCUGAUUUUCACUUUGUUCUUACCGUUCUAUUUUCUGUAUAAAAUCCAUGUAUCUAUCCUGUCUUGUUUAAGCCAAAUCCACAAACUCGAGUCAUAUGCAGGAUUUAUGGUUUGAUGUUCUGAUGUUCAAGUGUUCGAUUGCAGCGAUGCUACUCUUUACUCUCAGUUCUGAAGAUUUGUACUUGUGCAGGUCCAACAUUUGAUGGCCAACCAUAGAGAAGCUGUAAUUGGAUAGCAAUUUACUUCCUUUAGUGAUCCAGAUUAGGAAGAAUUGCAAGUUAAAAUUUAAAAAAUCUAAGGGCGUGAGGAAGGAGGAAAGACAAUGGAUUUCUCUGAGCAGGAAGUGGAAAUUUUUGGAGAAGAAUAUGGGCAAGAUGGCAAAGAUGACAAUGGUACUCGUCAUUCUUCCUCUUCGUCCUCUUCCUCUUCGUCCUCGGCAGCAUCCAGGUCAUCAGCUUCUUCUUCGUCAGGAGCUUCGUCUUCUUCUGGCGGAGGGGGCAGUGGAAGUGGCAGUAGCAGUGGGGAAGAUGAAGACAAUGGUGAAGAAGCCGUGGAGAGCGAUAAGUACCAUAGUUACAGGGAUGUUAACAAUACUGGUGGCUAUGAUGAAGAGAAA
rnacentral:lncRNA from 1 species